GAUGAACGCUGGCGGCGUGCCUAAUACAUGCAAGUCGAGCGAACAGACGAGGAGCUUGCUCCUCUGACGUUAGCGGCGGACGGGUGAGUAACACGUGGAUAACCUACCUAUAAGACUGGGAUAACUUCGGGAAACCGGAGCUAAUACCGGAUAAUUUAUUGAACCGCAUGGUUCAAUAGUGAAAGACGGUUUUGCUGUCACUUAUAGAUGGAUCCGCGCCGCAUUAGCUAGUUGGUAAGGUAACGGCUUACCAAGGCAACGAUGCGGAGCCGACCCGAGAGGGUGAUCGGCCAGCCGGGAAGUGAGACAGGGCACAGACUCCGACAGGGGGAAGCGGUAGAGAAUCUUACGGGAGGGAGGAGUGCCGGACAGAGCAACGCGGGGUAAGGGAUGAAGGUCUACGGACCGGAAAACGCUGUUAUUAGUAGAGAACAAAUGUGUAAGUAACUGUGCACAUAUUGACGGUACCGGAUCAGAAAGCCACGGCUAACUACGUG
rnacentral:rRNA from 1 species